AACUCCCUAAACCCGGGAUCGAACCAGCGACCUUUAGAUCUUUAGUCUAACGCUCUCCCAACUGAGUGCUUUGUUAUAGU